UGCAUUGAGACAGGUGAGGCUCAGAGGGGCCUCGGGGAAGACAUUCUUCUGCACUUAUGCCUGUAGGAACAAGACGCUGAUCCCGAUCCCGGAGAGCAAGCCUCCAGGUGAAAGGGUAGGAGCAAAAACAUUCCGAGAAAAGCAUGAAGACUUCCACACUCAUAACAGAAGUCUCAAGGUCCAGGGCUGGAGAGAUGACUCAGCUCCGCAGGACUCUUGAAGGAAGAUUGCUCGCUUGCGUUUCUUAAUUCUGGCAUUCUUAACUCAUGGUAAAAGUAAACUGUACAUUCCAAGUCAAAUACAUAUCAAAGGCAGAGAUCCACUCCAACAGGAAGGUCUCCCAGGUGCCGCCACCAUCCCAGCGUAAGAGCCAUGCUAACUCCUGCACUCAAGCGCUCCAUGGGCGUGCCUAACUUAGGAUCCCAUUAAGCCACGCACGCACGGCUUAAGAGGGCCUCAGAGGAGAAGGAAGAUCAUGCCAGACGCCUUUGUAUUCACUCAAGAGGAACUUCGGACCAAAGAGGAGUUUACUCUAUCUUAUUUUCUGCCUUUGGAAGAAUUGAUCAAUGUGCUGGUUGGUUUUGUUGACUUAACACAAACCUAGUUAUAUCAGAAAAGAGGAGAUUUUAAUUAAGGAAGUGUCGCCAUCAAACCAGCCUAUAGGCAAGUCUGUGUGGAAAUCUUUUUGAUUAUUUAUUGCUUUGGGAGGGUCCAAAGCAGUAGGGGCAGGCUGUCCACCCUGAAGGGUGGUCCUGGAUAAUAUACGUAUGCAGUCAGAGCAAGCCAAGAGCAAGCCAGUAAGCAGUAUGUCUCCAGGUUCACGCUUCAGGUUCCCACCCUGAGUUCUCUUCGUGAAGAACUGCAAACUGUAAUUGGAAAUAAGCUCUUUCCUCCCGAGCUGGCAGUGGUGGACUUAACUAAGGCAAUCAUAAAGUCUAAUGAUCCUUUCAAGUUCUGAUGCUCAAGGCCUGGUUUGGGAAUGCCAGGAAUCCCAGCAACUUGGGAGACAGAGGCAGGAAGAUCUCUGUGAGUUCAAGGCUAGCCU